rnacentral:rRNA from 1 species
GACGAACGCUGGCGGCGUGCUUAACACAUGCAAGUCGAACGGAAAGGCCCUGCUUUUGUGGGGUGCUCGAGUGGCGAACGGGUGAGUAACACGUGAGUAACCUGCCCUUGACUUUGGGAUAACUUCAGGAAACUGGGGCUAAUACCGGAUAGGAGCUCCUGCUGCAUGGUGGGGGUUGGAAAGUUUCGGCGGUUGGGGAUGGACUCGCGGCUUAUCAGCUUGUUGGUGGGGUAGUGGCUUACCAAGGCUUUGACGGGUAGCCGGCCUGAGAGGGUGACCGGCCACAUGGGGACUGAGAUACGGCCCAGACUCCUACGGGAGGCAGCAGUGGGGAAUAUUGCACAAUGGGCGGAAGCCUGAUGCAGCAACGCCGCGUGCGGGAUGACGGCCUUCGGGUUGUAAACCGCUGUCGCCUGUGACGAGGCGUGAGUGACGGUAAUGGGUAAAGAAGCACCGGCUAACUACGUG